rnacentral:rRNA from 1 species
CCCUUAGAUGUUCUGGGCCGCGCGCGUGCUACACUGAGUGGAUCAGCGGGUCAGGUUGCGCGAAAGUGUUUCCUAAUCUUUAAAUCCGCUCGUGAUGGGGAUUGACGGUUGCAAUUUUCCGUCAUGAACGAGGAAUACCUUGUAAGCGCGGGUCAUCAUCCCGCGCUGAAUACGUCCCUGCCCUUUGUACACACCGCCCGUCGCUCCUACCGAUUGAGUGGUCCGGUGAGGCUUUGGGAUCUGAGCGGAAAGAGCGUUUCGCUGUUUCUGCCCGGAAAACUCAGUCGAACCUUAUCAUUUAGAGGAAGGAGAAGUCGUAACA